GUUUAGUAAUUUACUGAAUUUUCAUUUUUAAAUUUUAAAUAAAAUUUCGCCAGCAUGACCGUAAUUUCUGCGACAGCAGCAAGUGGGUUUCUCACAUUUCGUGUGAAAUGCUGUGAUUCGAAACCAUCUCGAGGUUUUGGUUCCAAAAAAGACAAGGAAAUCAGUAACAAAACAGUCUGGUCCUCUACCUACACAGGCGCCUCUUUUAAGUUUUCAGUUUGAUGUAAAAUCUAACAUCAAAUCCUUGGACGUUGACUUUGAGGAACGGCUGGCAGCAAUUAAAAGGUCAGCAGUUGAGCAGAAAAAGGCAGAGAAAGAAAAAGAAUUUGGAGCAAUUGACUAUGAUGCACCAAUUGAGUCAGAAAAGAAAACAAUUGGACUUGGUACCAAGGUAAAUAUGUUGUACUUUGUGGUAUGGUUAACUAAUAAAAAAAAAAAGGGAAAAGAUACAGCCACCAAAGGCUAUACGUCGAAUUCAUGCACUGAAUGAUGUGACAAAAUCCUAACCGUCUAUUAAUAUUAAUAUUAAGUUAAAAUUAAUCAACGGUCAGGAUUUUGCCACAUCAUUCGAUGCAUGACUUCAGUGUAUAACCUUCGGUGGUUGUAGCAUUACUAAAAAAAAAAAUAGCAUAAAUCAUGUACCAGCUGAAUGCUUAUAACACACAUACACACAUGCAAAUAUAUUAUUAGCUUUAUUGACACCACUACUUUGCAUUUUGACAUGUAAUAGAUUGGAGUAGGAGUAGUUGUCCUGGUCUUUGGUUUGGUUUUUGCUCUUGGAGAGUUUCUUCCCACGGGAAGGUGUGGUAUAGUAAAAUAGAGUCUUCUCCCUCAAGUCCUU